rnacentral:rRNA from 1 species
CGGAGGGUGCAAGCGUUAUCCGGAUUCACUGGGUUUAAAGGGUGCGUAGGCGGGCAGGUAAGUCAGUGGUGAAAUCUUGGGGCUUAACCCCGAACUGCCGUUGAUACUAUCUGUCUUGAAUACCCGGGAGGUGAGCGGAAUAUGUCAUGUAGCGGUGAAAUGCUUAGAUAUGACAUAGAACACCAAUUGCGAAGGCAGCUCACUACAGGGACUUAUUGACGCUGAGGCACGAAAGCGUGGGAUCAAACAGGAUU